rnacentral:rRNA from 1 species
AAUAGAAUUACUGAAAAUAUGCUACAGAAUACUCCUCCAGUUUUACAACCUGUCCCUGAAUCAACCAAACCAAGUGGAAAAUCAUCUACAGGAAAUGACUCCAACCCCAUCAAACGGUGGAAAAGAGUAAACAAAACGAAGGCACUCAGCUUUAUUACCUCUACUUCGCUAGCAAGUCUGAAGAGAUCUCUGGAUGUCUCACCAAAUGAAACUAUUCAAACCCCUAAAAAACUGAAAGGUAAAGGAAAAUCUACUGUAG